UGGACCUGAAGAGCACACAGAGGCAACGUGGAAUUCCUAACAUGUACGAGCCCAUAUGUUUUAUGCCAAUGGGAUUAUUAUCAAAAUGUGCUCAUGGGACACGAUUAGCUGCAUGAUUGUGUUUGCUUGAAUGCAUGCCACCUCUUGCAGUGCAUUCCACAGUUCCUCAUCUGAAUGCUGGUUGAAAGGGUCCAGGUUCUUUCUCAUGGUACCCGUGAACAGCACCGGGUCCUGGAAGAGGAAUCGAGAGAGCACAAACAACCAUUCGCACCCACACCUACAGAAAAUUUGGAGCAGUCAAUCGGCCAACCAUGCGUGUCUUUGGAAUGUGGGACAAAAGCAGAAAGAAAUGAUGGAAACAAAUGCGGAUUAUGCAAUGGGGUAAAUGGUCAGCAGCCAUCUACCUGAGGAAUGAUGGACAUCCUCUGACGCAAGUCAUGGAGGCCCAGCUCAGAAGUCAAAAUGCCGUCGACGAAGAUGUUUCCUUGGGGUUCAGCCAGGCGAAACAGGGCUGACACAAGAGAGCUUUUCCCAGCACCUGUCCGACCCACGAUGCCCACCUGACCAUGACAAUCACAUCAGCUUUUCCAGCCAUCAAUGACAUUAUAUUGUAACCCUUCUGACAAUAACAUUUCUGACCUUCUCUUUGGGUUGGAACGUCACUUUCAAGUUGUCUAAAACUUUGGGCCCAUCAGCACUGUAGGAAAAGUUGACCCCGUCAAAGGUCACCCGACCCUUGCUGGGCCAAUUAGGCGGAGGUCGCUUUUUGGUUUCCCAGGGAGCUUCGCUCUCCAGUUCAGUGUAUUCCACCACCCUCUCCACUGAUGUCAUCUGUUAAUUGGUUCACCACAUAUUUAUUUCUAUACCAGCUCACUGAACCAUAAUUUACUCAAACACUUGGAAAAAGUCUUAUUUUGCCUCAUACCAUGUUCUCCACCUCAGCGCUCUGACGAACCCCCCACUGGAACAUACCCAUCAGGGUGAUCGAGUAGCUCAAAGCCAAACCCACAGAGCCGGCGUCCAGUUCUGACAGGAGAAACACAUUUCACAAACCCUUUCGUCUCAUACAAUACUUAUUCAGUAUUAGGGUAGAGGACUUCCUUACGGUCUCGGAGCAGCAGGCAGCCAAAUGUGGUGACUGUCACAAAAAUGGAGCACAUGGCAUCGAGGCGUAUGGCAAACCAGCGAGAUGUGGUCAGGAAAAGGAACCACGCCGCUGUUUCAGGUUAGAAUGAACAUUGUUAGUUUCAUCAACAAAUACUGUCUCUUUCCUCGAUACAACCUGUGUGCAUGUCCUGAUGGGCAUCAAAAGCCUUUUGGAAGCGGCCCUCUGCUCUGAAGGCCCGAAUAGUCCACAGGCCAUGCAGGGAGGAAGACAGGUGCGAGAAAACUGGGCUCCGAGCUGUGGGACCGGAAGGGAGGGCUCAUAAGAAUUAUUCAGACACACGAGCGUGCGCUGUUUUAAACCACUCACUUGUGGACUCGAGACGUUUGAUGUCUCUGGAGGUCUCCAGGAAGUAACGCCGGAGGAAGAGGAAGACAAUGAGUAGGGGGACCACAGGAAGAAGAAUCCAAGGGAUCACACCCACCGCCACUGCAACCACCC